AUUGGCUCUCAAAAAUUCGGCCCUUUGGUGAAAUUUGAGGUUUUGAGUGCUUCAACCUCCAUUGAAGCUUGAGGAGCCAUCAAUCCUUGGUUGUGUGACCAUUGGUGGAUUGAGACAUUUGGACCAACCGUGAGUGAUCAACCAUUGGAGCAAGCUAUGGAGCUUGAUUAGCUCCAUUGGAUAGGUUUUGUUUGAGAAGUGGAGUAUUUUAAUUGAUUGACUGUGGAAACUGUUGGUGGUGAACAAAGGUCGAAUUGAAGCUGAGG